rnacentral:rRNA from 1 species
AUUGAACGCUGGCGGCAGGCCUAACACAUGCAAGUCGAGCGGAUGAAGGGAGCUUGCUCCUGGAUUCAGCGGCGGACGGGUGAGUAAUGCCUAGGAAUCUGCCUGGUAGUGGGGGAUAACGUCCGGAAACGGGCGCUAAUACCGCAUACGUCCUGAGGGAGAAAGUGGGGGAUCUUCGGACCUCACGCUAUCAGAUGAGCCUAGGUCGGAUUAGCUAGUUGGUGGGGUAAAGGCCUACCAAGGCGACGAUCCGUAACUGGUCUGAGAGGAUGAUCAGUCAACCGGGAACUGAGAACCGGCCCAGACCCCCAGGGGGGGCAGCAGGGGGGAAUUUUGGAAAAGGGGGGAAAGCCUGACCCAGCCAUGCCGGGGGGGUGAAGAAGGGCUUGGGAUUGUAAAGCCCUUUAAGUUGGGAGGAAGGGCAGUAAGUUAAUACCUUGCUUUUUUGACGUUACCAAAAAAAUAAGCACCGGCUAACUUCGU